GUGUGUGUGUGUGUGUGUGUGUGUGUGUGUGUGUGUGUGUGUGUGUGUGUGUGAGAGAGAGAAUGUGUGCACGCAGAUAUAAGAAGUUGGGGUUGAUGAUCCACAUGAUGGUGAUGGACCAGGACAGCUCUGGACCUCCUGACUGGCAGCUCCAUCCUCAACCUCUCUUCCUGCCCUUCACACAUGUGCAGGCAGCCAGUUUUCUGAAAGAUGGUUGAUGUCAGUACCAACAUGUUGUGAUGGAGGCUUCCACCUGAGCUGAACACAGAAACUUGCACACAGUGAUGGAAGCAGUCGUUCCUGUUCAGCAUCGAUAUGCCAGUAAUGGGUUUGAUGAGCCACAGCAUGGUGAUGGGCAAUCAGCAUCAGGACCAGGGCAGCUCACAAGGAGAACCUCCUGCCCUGCCUCGUCAUCCUCAACCUCCCAUCUCCCUGCUCUUCACACAUGUGCAGGCACGGAGCCAGUUUUCAGAGGGAGGGCUGAUGACACCAGCAACUUUGGUGAACCUGAUCAACCCAGCACCAACCACUGUGCCCCUCCUCCUCUGCCAACUGCACCACAUGGCUCCACCAUCUCAAAAAGGCACAGACACUACUCCUACUACUUCCUGCGAAGGAUGAGAGAAGAGCCGACCGCCCCACAUCGGCACUCACCACCUUCUACAGGGGUGUCAUUGAGAGCAUCCUGACCAGCAGCCUCUCUGUCUGGCAGCCGUCAAGCUGAAGACUAGAAGGCAGUACAGAGAGUGUGGUGAGAACGGCAGAAAAGCUCAUAAGAUCACCCCUACCAGCCAUUCAGGAUCUGUACACUUCACACUGUUCCAAGAGGGCAAUGAACAUCAUAAAGACACAACUCAUCCAGCAUACAGACUGUUCUCCCUACUACACAAGCACAUCAGACUCCUCAACGCACUGAAGAAAACCACAUGAAUAUUCCAAGGACACUGGAGAAUAUUCCAUGAACACUUCUUUCACCAUGCCACUUACACUUUACUCAUUGCUCCUUAUAUACAGCAUCUUCACAUCACCUGUAUGAUCUCCUCCUGCCGUGUGUGUGUGUGUGUGUGUGUGUGUGUGUGUGUGUGUGUGUGUGUGUGUGUGUGUGUGUGUGUGUGUGUGUGUGUGUCCACUGUGUUUGUGUAUUUAUUGUCCAUCAGUAUGUUAAUCUUCUUAUUGCACACUGUUUGUGUCUCUGUGUGACUGUAUUUAUUGUAUGUAUCAGUCUGUAUUUCAUACCAAUGCAUUAUUUUUAGUUAUUAGUUAAACUGCACAUUGGAGACUGGUCAAACACAAUUUCAAACUUUGUGUUAACCCUCCAUAGAUUUUUAUUUAAAAAAUGGAGUCUAAUCUACUGUACUACACAGGCUAUCAACAGACCACACAGUUGAGUGCUGUUUUAUGCACUCUGAAUAUGAGAAGGAGAGGUAACCGUUCACACUUCAUAGUGUAAAAGUAAACAGAAAUAAAUUUUCACAUUUCA